AGGACGAACGCUGGCGGCGUGCUUAACACAUGCAAGUCGAGCGAGAACCAGGGCUUCGGCCCUGGGGACAGCGGCGAACGGGUGAGUAACACGUGAGCAACCUGCCCCGAAGACUGGGAUAACACCGGGAAACCGGUGCUAAUACCGGAUAUCCCCACGAGACCGCAUGAUCUUGUGAGGAAAUGAAUUUCGCUUUGGGAGGGGCUCGCGGGCUAUCAGCUUGUUGGUGGGGUAACGGCUCACCAAGGCGACGACGGCUAGCUGGUCUGAGAGGACGACCAGCCACACUGGGACUGAGACACGGCCCAGACUCCUACGGGAGGCAGCAGUGGGGAAUCUUGCGCAAUGGGCGAAAGCCUGACGCAGCAACGCCGCGUGGGGAUGAAGGCCUUCGGGUUGUAAACCCCUUUCAGCAGGGACGAAGUUGACGGUACCUGCAGAAGACGCCCGGCCAACUACGUGCCAGCAGCCGC
rnacentral:rRNA from 1 species